GGGCCCGUGGCGCAGAAUGGAUAGCGCGGCGGCCUCCUAAGCCGUAGGUCGUGGGUUCAAGUCCCACCGGGCCCG
rnacentral:tRNA from 2 species